rnacentral:rRNA from 1 species
GGCCUUCGGGUUGUAAACCUCUUUCAGUAGGGAAGAAGCGAAAGUGACGGUACCUGCAGAAGAAGCGCCGGCUAACUACGUGCCAGCAGCCGCGGUAAUACGUAGGGCGCAAGCGUUAUCCGGAAUUAUUGGGCGUAAAGAGCUCGUAGGCGGUUUGUCGCGUCUGCUGUGAAAUCCCGAGGCUCAACCUCGGGCCUGCAGUGGGUACGGGCAGACUGGAGUGCGGUAGGGGAGAAUGGAAUUCCUGGUGUAGCGGUGGAAUGCGCAGAUAUCAGGAGGAACACCGAUGGCGAAGGCAGUUCUCUGGGCCGUAACUGACGCUGAGGAGCGAAAGCGUGGGGAGCGAACAGGAUUAGAUACCCUGGUAGUCCACGCCGUAAACGUUGGGCGCUAGAUGUGGGGACCUUUCCACGGUUUCCGUGUCGUAGCUAACGCAUUAAGCGCCCCGCCUGGGGAGUACGGCCGCAAGGCUAAAACUCAAAGGAAUUGACGGGGGCCCGCACAAGCGGCGGAGCAUGCGGAUUAAUUCGAUGCAACGCGAAGAACCUUACCAAGGCUUGACAUAACCGAGAACGCCGCAGAAAUGUGGAACUCUUUGGACACUCGGUUACAGGUGGUGCAUGGUUGUCGUCAGCUCGUGUCGUGAGAUGUUGGGUUAAGUCCCGCAACGAGCGCAACCCUCGUCGCAUGUUGCCAGCACGUCA